UUACAACGUUAGGUCCAAAUUGCCCGUUACCAAUCCUACCUAUCAGAAAAUGUGCAGUUCCCAAGGUCCAGACCAAGUCAGAGGAGAAUGUUUCCUUACCAGGAAAACCUGCCACCUCGUAUAGCCUGAGGUCCAGGGUGCCUUUGGGAAAUGCAGCAAACAAACUGAACAACAACGCCAAAGGAAUUAAACAAAUAUGGGUGUCCACGUCAAACCAGCUCAAUGUAAGCAGAGCGCUACUGAAAGUGACCAAGUUAUUUAAAAGAAGGACAAGGAGAGCACUGGGGCUGGCAACUGUGAUCUUGUCAGACAGGCCAAGCCCAUUCCAGCUGCCCCUGAGAGUAGCCUCAGAGCCAAGAGACCACUGGUUGAGGGGCUCAAUGUGCCACAGGCCUUCUCACAAUUCCUGCUCAACAUCCCAGAUGUGGACUCUGCAGAUGCAGAUGCCUCCUCGCUGUGCAGUGACUAUGUGAAGGACUUUUACGCUUAUCUAAGGAACCUGGAGGUUUUUAAAUUGGACUCCUCUCAACUCUCUUGUUCUGAGCCUAAUUAAAUUUCAUGUGAUUUUUAUUUAUUUGGGUUGUCAAGAAGCGGCAACACCUGUUACUCUUUUUCACUACGUUAACCAUUAUUAUUCAAGAUCCUGUGUCUUGCCACAGACCCGUCUCUUAAUGUCUGACCGGUUGCCAUGGCUAUCAACCCUAUCUGGAGGGUUGUGAUGUGACUAGGAGCGUGUGGAGUAUUCUAGUUGACUGGCUGGUACAUGUCCAGAGGCAGUUGACUGCACUGUUGGCAUCAUCGACCCGCUUUCUCCAGACUAUUCAGUGCCAAAGAAGUCUCUGCAACUGGUUGGUAUCAUUACGAGGCUCAUCGCUUACCAGUACGAGGAAAUUGCUCCUCCAAUGGAGGACUUUGCCCAUACAACAGACUUCACAUAUUCCUGUGCUGAGAUACGCUUGAUGGAAAUGACCAUUCUGAAAGCCUUGAACUAUGAAUUGGGACAACCAUCACCAGUUCACUUUUUAAGGAGAGCCGCCAAGGUUGAAGACCCCAAGCCCUGCAGCACUACAUGGGCUACACAGAGGUCUCUCUGCUACCUGUGAUGCAAUGCAUUGCCAAGACACUGGAGCGCUUGAAUGAUGUCAACAUGAAGCAGUUGGUGAGCCCAGCCUUUAGAUGACUUCUAGCCCAGCGAUAUACUGUAGGGCCAGACAGCAAUGUUUAAAUGAACCCCCCCCCAGUCAAUUAAGCAGAAGUAUGAAAACGUCAAGCUACUCCGGGUCAGCUGUCUCCCAGAGCUGGCAUCUACCAGGGCUUACGCCUACAUUAACAAACUGGCCAACUGUCACUGUUGACACAUUAUUUACCCUGUGUUUUUAGCUUUAAAACAAAUGUUUCUUAAGUCUU